rnacentral:tRNA from 1 species
UCCUCAAUGGCUCAGACAGUAAAGAAUCUGCCUGCCAUGUAGAAGACCCAGGUUUGAUUCCUGGGUCAGGAA